UGAUUGGUUGGUGAAUUUAACAAAAGAAAAAAAAAAAACAUCGACGGAAGCUUUUUUUUUCCUCUUUCAUUUCACGAGCCGAUCCCAAAAAAAUUCAUCUAGGGUUUGAUAUCUCUCUCUCAAUUGCUGCUGAGGGUGUGAUUGAGGCGCAAAGAGAGGUUGAGUAGUCGACGAGUCCUCGUUCCUAGGUUUUGUGAUUUGUUCGGACUCUAAUGGUGAAGAAGCAAAAAUCCGAGGAAGCCACACGGCUCGAUGAGGUUGAUCGAACAAUGUAUGGAGCGUUUCGAGGCGCUGCUGAUUCGCUCUCUCAGCUCUAUACAUGCCAUGAGCCAUCAACGCGUCUCUUUCCUCGCCGGUGAACGUCACGGCAUGAAUGAGCUUGAAUAUGAACCUGAGGAGACAUCGAUUCCCUGUGCAAGAGUUCCAUCAGUACCAACAAUUCGCACCACCAAACGUAAAUACUUCAGUAGCUCAUGUUCCUUCAAGUCACAUAGCACACCAUUAUGAUUGUAACAAAGAGAAAGUCUUGGUUCCACCAUAUGGUCUCUCAAGUCCUGUUCGAAGAACCCUUCAGGAAUUCAACUUGUGUGAGGCUAAAUCUGGUAACCAGAAUCCAAACUCUACAGCUUCAACUCAUACACCACGAUGACAAUGGUGUGUUGUUGGCGAUGAUGCUCAUGGUGGAAGAUUAAAGCGGAGCAGCUUAACAAGGGAUUAAAGAGGUUUCAGAUGCUUCUGCAAAGGCACAAAAGAUAUGCACAAAAGAGAUGACCUUUAAGUGAUUCUAGCAUUGGAAAGCCUCUUGGAAGGGGCACGUCUUUCUCGCGGGUUUUAUUCAAGAGCCAGCUUCAACAAUCAUAAGUCCAACAACAUCUUCUCAGGAGAGAAGUAGAGAUAAAGUCUCUCAUCUUCAACUUGAAGAAUCUACAUCGUUAUCUCUACGAUCAAAACUUUGUUAUGCUUCUAAAGUGAUAAAAACUUAAAAAAUGCAGACAUAUCAACGAGAGACGACGACUUGCAACAAAAUGUACAGUUGUAUUAAUGUGACUUCACAUUUGGGUUCGGUGGUUCUGUUUUCACAAAUGAACUGCAAAAAUAUGGAGAAGGAAUAAACAUAGAGAAGAUUUGAGAAAGUUUCAAUACUAUGUCGACCCUUCGUUUACAUGAAUUUUGGCAAUAUUGUACAAAGCCCAGAUAGUUUACGUGUAUUUAUAUUAACCAAAAAUAUUUAUAUUCUC